UAUUUGUGAAUAUGCGCUGAGCUGAACUUCAUCCUGGUGCUGGCAUCGUCAUAUCAAAUACAGACCAGUAUUAUGUCGAAUACUGUACACAUUUGGCUUCAUCGCUUUCAUCUGAACAGCCUAAAAUGAAGAAACUUUAGAUGAAAAUAAUUUAUUCAAGUAUCAGGUGUCACACGGGAUUGAGUGGUGUCAGCCCUUUUUCUUUCAUGUCGGGACCGCAAUAGCGAUGAAAGGGGAAAAAAAAAAAGAUCUUCCAGUUCUGGGACGUACUACCUUUGAAGCUGCAGGCAGCCACAGCAAGCUGGCUGUGGUCUGCACAGCGUGCUAAUACCUACCCUCUGGAAAAGCAGGAAAGGUGGUUGCUGCAGCUGCUGCUAGAAACGUCAUCACCUUGUGAAUCCCAUUUGUACACUCUGUUUAGACUAAUUGUACAAAUUUAAGGGUAUUUGAAAUAUUUAAGGGUAUUUGGAAGCUAGUUGUGGAAACCUUUAUGUGCCUUUCCUAGAUACUGUGCCCAAGAAAUACUUGCCAUGGAAAAAAGUAACCAAGAGUAGAGUUCACAUUCUGCCUAUGCUUAACAUUAUAUUUAUCUACAAGAUUUUGCAUAAAGAUAGGCAGUCACACUCAGGAAUCUUAAAUCCUUUUCCUUUGAUUUUCCUGUGGCUGACAGUUCAGAAUUUUUGUGGACACAGGAUAUAAAUCAGCCUUAAAGGCAAAGUUUGUAUGCUGGUUUUAAGAAAUAUAUACAUAUAUUAUACAGCCAGCUUCUGCAGAGAUGCUACUUAUUCGGCAGUGUUUUGGUUUGAUGACAUAACACUUUUACCUAUAAUUAUUUGCAGGUAAUAAAUUGGAUAGAGGGGGUUAAAUUGCUUGUGAAUAAUUGAUAAAUAAGAGCUUAUUACGAUACAUCUGAUAAACCAAGGUAAAUUAUUUUUUUUGUCUCAGGCACACAUUAGUCUUCUAUGAACGCAGGCAUAAAAAAAUCUAAAUACUCCUCUGGGUUGUUUCAGAGCAAUGCAUGAACAUAUUUGACAACCCUGGACGCCACACAAUUAAGUCAUCAUCGGUAACUCCAAGACAAGAAGUAUGCUGCUGUUGUAGCCAAGAUACAGCUGAGGUGGUUUUAAAUUUUCUUGCCAUGACAUUUGUAAUAGUAGUUGUGAGGAGAUGCGUUUGUAAACAGUACAGAGCAGCUCCAGGGAGCAGAGACACCGCGAACCCUCUGUACGAUCGUUCCUCAGCACAGCACCACACAGCUACUGAGAGUUUCCUGUCCCGGCUUCUUGUACUUCUGAUAGUCAGUGCUGCUUUUUUUUUUUUUUUUUUUUUUUAUUCCUUUCAGUCGUGAUCUAAGGAACUGUUGUUAUAUCUGGAAUUGGAGUGACCAAAAUUGCAGACUUCACAGAAUCUCAUCAUUGCAAUCCUGACAGCUGCUUUUAAUUGCAGAUAAUGUGGCUGCAUUUUAAAAUAAAAAAUUAAGACAAGCAGUUACAUCACUGCAUUUACUGUAUCUUUUUGCCAGAUGAGGCAAUUUGGCUUUUUUAAUUUUAUACUGUCUAAGAAUGUCUUAGAAAGUUAGCAAAACAUAUGGAUAUGCAUAGAGCGACUCCAGAUUCCACCCAAGGAAAUUACAGCACUUACGCAGUCAGCAUUUAGUCACGUAUUUGCUUGCAGUCUGAACAGAGAUAGAAAGAAGGAAAGCAGUGAAAGGAAGCAGAUAAGCCUAGGAAGGAAGAGGACAGCACUGGAGGUCCAAAUCUCAUUAAGGGAAAAUCUGGCGUUUCCUUUUCCUUCCACUAGUUAAUAACGAGUGCUGCAAAUGUAUUUAGUGGAAGCUAAAAAUGCUACUGGUGUUUUGAGUUCAUCUUUAGCAACACAGCCAGGUUUUGAUUGUAUAGUACAGGUACACGAUAAAGACACACAGAGCUAAUACUUUAAAUCCAAGGAGAGUAGUCCUUAAAGUGUUUGUUUUGAUCCCCUUUGGGUUCAGCCCUCACUAAAGGUCUUCCACUUCCAUUCUGGUCCAAUUUCAACAAAACUUCAGGGACAUGGUUUGGUUCUAUUUCAGUUUUAAGGACAAAUACAUACAUGUAUUUUAUAUAUAUUUGAGCCAGUUUGGUGUCAAGUCAAUGCCCCACUAACUGCUCGAAUCUCAAAGCUAGCCAUGUAGAUUAAAAAAACAUUUCCUAGACUGCAAAUCAUAAUCAAUCUUGCACAUCAGUAUCCUCAGACUUUUAGUCUUAAAUCUUGUUCUGUCUGGUUCUGCAGGUUGAGGGGCCAUCAGUGGUCAUCAGGCCCCACUUUUAAGGACUGCUGAAUUCAGGGUCACAAGUCCAAAUCUGUGGGAAGCAAGCUAAGCAGUAUCUCUUCUGACAAUGCUAUUCACUUUUCAUGUAGGUUAUUCCAAGUCAUAAUCCCAGAUUUUUAUAUUUAUUCUGCACUUUUUAAAAGCUCACUUAAAAGUCACAAACCUUUCUAGAAACUGCACCAGAAUAAUCAGAUUUUUUAAAAAUGCUUUUGAGAGGAUCCUUUAUGCUAAUUAGAGUCAAGCUCUAUUUAAGCAUGUGUGUAAUUUGUUUUCUACAGACCAGUUUGUUUUCUGCUGAUAACAAGAGGCCAAAUGUGUUCCUAAAACUGGCACAGGCAGAUUUAAUGUAUUAGGAUUGGGCUGUUUUCAAUUGUCUGCAGGACAGCAUUCCAGCUUUAGGGACAAAAGAAAAAAUAGGAUCCUCUAGAUUUGUUUAUUAAAAGCACAUCUAAUUGCUUAAAUCUCUCACAAAGCCUCAGAAAUUAAGAAGGGAAAAGAGAAACAUAUCUUGUAUGCUUGCCUGUCAAUUUUAGAAGGAAGAGCGCAGCAAACAUUUCUGUAAGUGAUGCGUCUCAAAAACAGUGUUAAAAUGUAAAUCAGGGUGAGCCAAAGUAGGUGGCCUGAAGGCCAGAUGAGGGUCUUGCAAACCGUUGCUGUCCGCUGCUGUCCCAGGCAGUAACCUCUUCCCUUCCUUCCUCCCUCUUCUCUUCCUCCUCACCCUGGCCCCCAUUGCCCUCCCCUUUGCAGCCACGGGCCUCUGUAAUGCCAACAUCCGAAUCUCCUGUGCCAGUCACUGAAAACCUGGCUAAUGCCAAGGAAGGGAAGGAUUUGGUGCAGAAAGUUUCCCCAAACUGUAGACCAAAUCUUAGGCAUACUGUGCUGGAUGCUGGCAGGAUUUGAGGACACUAGGUGGUCAGUUGGGAAGGGGUCUCACUCUUCAGGUGGCUUUUGCUACUAGAAAAAUGAUUCCUUAUCCCUCCUAAAAAAAGAUGACAGGCAGGACUGAAGCACAUCACUGAAAAGGAUCAGCCCUUGGGCUGCUGUGUAAUUGUUCUGAUACUUUAUAACUUCCAUUCAUUUAAAUAAUAAAGACUUUACAUUCAAUGCAGACCAAAGAGAGGAAUUAAUAUAAAAUAUAGGUGACACGUCAUGAACUUCCUUAAAAGUAGUAUUUUAUUAAAAGGCACGUCCAGCACGUAGGUAAAAUAUAACACAGAAAGUUCUAAAGCAUCUCAAAACAUAGGGUUUAAAGUGACUCUGUAGUGUCUAUACAUUUACAUUUGUUUCCAUAAUAAAAAUAAGUGUUUAUUAGCAGUACUGCAAUGAAUUCUGAGUGCUUUUUACCAUGGUAAAAAUAAUCUCUAGCAAAAAGUUGAAUGAGAAAUAGUUAUACAAAGGAAGCAGGCAUCCACUGCAAAACUUGUGUAUACAUUUCAUUUUAAAAAAUCCAGUGAAUUGUAAAAAAAAGUGUAAUUAUUACUUGCAAAGCAUGACUCAGUAUUUCUCAGAAUUUGUAGUCCUUUAAAUAUAUGAAUUAAUGUAGUUCUCUAUUUUUAAGUUUAAUUCAAAGAUUCUUCGAGGAGACAGAUGAAAUACUGCAAGCCUCUUAUUAUUUAUUUAUUCCAGACUUAAUAAUUUUUUUAAAUGUAAAGCACCAUUUUAUUAAUAUGAGAACAAAGAAAAUUCACUAAUUAACCUGAAAAUCAAACAUUGGCAAAUAACUAAAACUAAAUAAAGAUUGAAGUCUGAAACCUUUUCACAAAAUCAACUUACUUUACUUGCAAAUUACAGCAUAUGAAAUGGUUUUCUAAUAUUUUAGAUAAAAGACUGGAAGGUUGCUUUUAUUUAGGGGGAGAAUAGCUAUUGCUUUUUGCAAUCUUCUGUUGCUUUCCCUGGAUUUGAACUGGACAAACUCAUCUACAAUACCUAUAUUUUGAAAGAUUCUUACUUUAAGGUUAGACUUCAGGAGCUAGCAGAGAUUCAGGGAAUGUUUUUACAGGUAGCCUCGCAAGAUAUUUGCCACUGCUUAAACCUUUCCCAUGCAUCCUGUUUUCAAAGAAAAAAUACCCUUCAAUUAAAAAUUCACUUCAUCUAUUUUGUUCCCUUUCAAAAUGAAACCUGCCUGCCUGCAGGCUAGUGAAGCAUCCUGCAGUAGGCACUGCAUCCUCUGUCAGGGGAGUUAAAAGAAACAGAUGAAUUUCCAGAAAGCUUCUCACAAGCAGCUUCCCUCACAGAAAACACGUCUGAAGCAUUCCAGCUCAGGAAGGAGCUGUGCCACAUCCACUGCCAUCUAGUUAGACAAGGAUCUCACUUUCCUAACUUACUUCCUUCUCUCUUUUUCGCAGUGCAGCCAGUCAAAGGUAUUGCCCCUAUUGCAGCUUAAGUUCCUAUCAAUGUUAUUUGUAGUAUAAGCCACUUUCUACACCAUGGUGAGAAAUUACAGAAUGUUGAGUCCCCCCCCCACUUUACAGAUGGAUAAAUUGCAGCUCAGUCUUUAAUGGUGCUCUUCCUACAGAAAAUCAACCAGCUCAAAAUCCCUCGAACAGUAAGAGUUGAUCAACAACUUAUUCUGCCCUCCAGAUGUGUCAAACAGGGUAAGAAAAAAGCAAAUGUGUUUAAAAAGGUGUCCAGAGCAAUCUCUCAAAUUUGGAGAUUCCUCCUGAGGCAGAGUGUGGGUACAGCGACUCGACCGAAAAGAUCCUAUUUCAGGGCUGCAACCUAAAGAGAUACACUUAAAUUGUAACAAAGCAUUUUAAAGGGGAUUUUCGCACUUUCAGCUACCACAUUUACUACUGUUUUUCAUAAAACCCUGUUAUCAAGCCUGAUCCAAAUAACUUCAAAAGAAGAAUUUGCACUGGGCUUUGAAUCUUUCCCCAUGUCUAACAUGCCUCUGCAUUUGCUAUUUGUUAACUCACGGUGUACCAAGUUGCAAACCUCAGCUAUGAAACAUCAGUUAUAGAACAGUUUGAUGGGAAUCAAAAGGAUUUACUUACAUAAACCCUGCCCUCCAGUGAAAGAGAAAUCAAGACAGAAGCAUUGAAUUUGUUUGUUUGGGGUUUUUUGAUGUAUUUUGUUCUUAGCAGCACUCACCACUAAACUUUUUCUGGAUAUUACCUGUUUGAAGUUUUUCCUACUAAAUACCAGCUCAUUUCUUAUGCUAAUAUAAAUGGCUUUUGCUCCAGCAUUAUAUUCCUCCUUAAUACCAUAAAAAGGAGUGGUAUUAUUUUGGUAUUUCAGUUCCUGGAAAAAUAAUGGCUCCAAUUCUGGAAGAAAACAAAAUGAAACACAGGUGCAAUCCCUUUUUAAAAAUAGAAUCUAAGUAGAAUAGAAUACACAGUUUAUCAGGCAGCUUAAUCUGCAUAAUUAUGGUGAUAUAUUUUUGUAUUUCUGUAGACUUUCUCAGAGGCAUUGGCUAAUUUAAAGCCCUGUAGAUAACCUGAUUAAUAAACACAGUUAAUCCCUCUCCUGUUUGGAGAGGGACAUACCCAGGACAUACUGAGUUUGCCAUAAGCUAAUUUUCUUUUUUCUCAAAAUUGAGCUAUCUAGCCAGACUUUGUCUAUGUGUGGAUUCAAACUGUACUGAUACUAGUUAUUCCAUAUCAGCUUUAAUCUCUACUAAUACACCUUUCAGCACUGUACUCAUCCAGGUGGUUAGUUAUUUGAUACACCUUGUGAGAAGUACCGCCUCUCACAGGAGCUGCUGGCUUUUCCAUGUCCUUUCCCUUCAGUCCCUUCUUAGACAUGAAAGCCAGACACAUAAUUCCCUCCUCAGAAAGCAGAAUAUUUUCUCAUCUUGCUCCUGGCAGCUAUGUUUCACCUAGCUUGUGCUCUCUAGGACAGGAGAUAAGGACCAGUGAUGGUCAGCACCUGAAUCAACUCUGCCUCUCCAUUCCAUUGACUGAUAUUCAGCCUUUUGUAGAAACAACCCAAUUUUAGCAAUAUUGUGGCAAAUGUUGCUGUCAACAGACCGUGGUGACAGUUAUGUGUCAGUGGAAUGUUCUUUCCAGGAAUUUUCAGUCAUGAUAAUGGCUUAGUAAAAUACUGAAACCUGCUGAAUCUAAUGCUAAUAGAGAAGUGCUUUUCAGGAGCUGGGCUGAGAUACCAAAGCUUGUCAACCCCACUGCCUAUGUGUAUACGGAGCCAAUCAGCUCUGACCUUUCAACUAACUUCUUUUUCUAUUUAGAAAUUCUUUGGUUUAGAUAGUAAAAGUUUCAUUAAUUUCUAUAUUUUUAAAAUUAAAUUUCUCCUUUCAACAAAGUUCUUUUACUGGUAUUGAGAAUUAGAACCCCUCAAACCAUUGUUUCUUCUAGCACUAAAUAUGAUUCUUAAAAUUAUUUUAAUGACUGCAAAGUUGGCAGAAAUUUUAUUUUACUUUAUUUUAAAUGACUCUUAGACAUGAUACCCAUGUCUAAAGAUAUCUCCUCCCAUUUCCAUUAUGUGUUUGGGUUUAAGGAGAGCAAAGCCCUCAUAUCAUUUGACUCGCUUUCCACUAGAGCCGAAGAUUAUAGCUAAAGGAAAAAUCAAUGGGAUUGUUAUCAGGAAUACAAGAAAAAGCUUUUCAAUAGAGCAUAUAAGUAAAUAAAGUUUUUUAAACAAUCUUUAACAAGGUAAUUUACCUGCAGGAACAUUUUACUAGAACAUGAGAGUUGGCUAAGGUACAGAAAUCCACACAACUACAGAACUCUGUCCUCCCUGUCAUAUGUAGACUCUGUUUUCUCAAGAUGAUGAGACUUAGUCUCAUUAUAGGAGUAAAUUCCUAAAUUCCUCAUUGUUGUAAGAUAUAAAAAAACCCCUUUGCCCCCUAUAUUCUGGUGAACAAUUUUUCCUUCUUGCUAAUAAUUUUAUAUUGUUUAUCUAGAAUGUGGCUACAUAAAAUAUAAUUAGGACAAUAAUUACAAGAUCAGAUUAAAAUAAAAUUACUUCUAAUGCAAUGAGCACAGCUGCUUGGUUACAUUCCCACUCUACCCAUUCAUCUUGUACUCAAACCAUUUUCUGUCUCCAGUGGUAAUACUACCAGCAGGAAGAUACCCAUACAACUAAAAUACUGCCCUAGUUUACACUUCUGCUAGGUUUAGUGCUAAACUAAAUACUAUCACCAAUUCAAUUUUCAUCAUUCAUGUUAAUUUUGGUUGUUUUUUUAAAGCAUAACCUUUUUGGACUGUGGGAUUCUCAGAUUUCCUUUAAGUAAAGUGAUGUUCUAACACUCCAGGUAUAAACUUAAAAAUCUGAAACUCCAAGACUCAAAAAAGAAAAACCAAACCAACACAUGGAGUGAAAAAAGGCUUAGGAUUAAAGUCCUUAUCAUGAUUUUUGGUUGACUCAUGGGCAUUGAACCUGAACUGGCUUUGCUGCACACUCUGUACUAGCAAUUCAAGAGGAUAUAUAUCAGUUAGAAGUAAUUCUUAUAAUCUGAAAGGCCCACAAUUUAAAAGCUAGUGCUGCAAACCAGCUACAACAUCCAUAGGGUAAAGAAAAAAAAAGGCACUGAAACUUUUUUUAAAUCUUUGAACAACAUGUCUGAAAAUUUUAUGUCUGAAAAUUCACAAAGUCUUCAUGCAAGAUCUUUGUACUGCUGAAAUUUAAUCAUGUUCUAUCAUCAGAUUUUUUGUACCAGAACAAGUCAUUCCUCUGUGCUGCAUUAGAAAGAAGCCAAGCUUUCUGCAAGCUAUACUGUGGUUUAGUUUUACUAGUGCAAUGCAUCAACCCUAGGACUGGCAUCCUAAUGAGGACAAGAACUGUGCUUUCAUACAAAGAGGACUAGUUCCCCCUCCAGUCUGUUUAAAAUAUUGUUCACAGCUGUGAGCACGCUAUAGUUACAGGAACCUUCUUUUCCUCACAGGAACUAAUGGAAAUGAUACAAAGUCUAGGUCAAUAUGCUCAAUGUUUGGUGACUUGAUUCCACAUCACAGUAACUUGAUUAGUUACAAGAAUCACCACCUUUCACUUUGCCAGCACUCCUUGUUCUCAGCCUGCCAUUUGCCCUUGUGCUUUGGAGAACUGUUAUUAAAAAACCCAGCAAGCUUCCCUGCAUCUGCCCCAUGUUGUUCCUCAGGGCUCGGCUCUGCUGUGGGCUACACUUGGCCUGUGACGGCUCACAUAGUCUGCCACCAGAAAGCCACAAAUCAUGUCUUAUAUUUGCAACAUAGCACUCUCAUUGCACCCCAAAGCUCUUAUCUUCUCAGUCUGCUUGCUCCAGCACUGGUAUUCAUGAUGUUAAACCCCCAGGGAUUUAUUUUAAAGGUCCUUAGUAGAAUGUGUUGAGACCCCAAGCAUGUCACCCUGGCUGAAAAGGCACAGUAGUAGAAUGUUAACACAGCAGCAGAUUAGAGGGUUUGUCACUGUGAUAGAAGUUAUUCCAUAUAGCAGUUCUCUCACCACAGGGUAGAGCUAGACAAAAACUGUAAGAAAAGAUUCAUCAGAAUGAAAAGUGUUCCCAGGAACACACUUUUUUGACAGGCUCUGCUCACAGGAAAAGCUGCUCAGCCUGAGGGUGGCAGAUCUUAGCAAGACUGAUGACAAGAACUGUGCAAUUGUGACACAGACCUAGAAUACAAGAGCUCUCUGGGCAUGGGAACCAAAAGAUGACCACCAUAUAAUGUGAAAAACUUCCAAAUACAUCUUGGCAAGACAUGGGGAAAAUUUUACAUAACAAAAUAUUUUGGUUUGUUUUUUAGAAGAAAACUCCUCCCAUUUCUAUACUAAAGCUUGAGUUUAAAAUAGGGACAGAAGAUUUGAGCCAUGGAGGAGGAGAAACCCACCUUUUCCACAGAAAGAACAAGAACAUAUCAAGUAUCUGUCAUAUCAAGGAACCAUCCACCCUGCCUCACGUUCUUGGUGCCUUCUAUUUCUCAAUGGCUCUGCUACUCAUUUCUGCCAGCAUGUUACAGACAAAACUGAGUAUGUAAAACUGAGAGUAGAUGCAACAAAUAAGCUGGUCAGGGCCCCAGAGUUUAUGAGAAGGGAGAGAACAUCUUGAAAGUACAACAGAGCAGUUAAGUCACAAGGAAAACAAGAUUAUUUUAUGUUGUUUCUAUUUUAGCCUGGGCAAAGCUAGAUUACAGCAUGUCUUGACAACCCUCCUUGUUCAAGCACAGGUCUUUGCUUUAAUCAACAAAUAAGCUAGGGAAAGAAUUAAAACUUUUAAUUUGUUGACUAAGUGAGUCUAAGUCCUUGUUUCUCUCUUUACUGCUUUCCUAUUUUUCUCAUCCUGUGUAUUUCUUCUAUUAAAUACUUUACCUUUGGGCUGAAGAAUGGUUACUGAGGGUCUUAGUCCCCUCUUCCUGUUUGGAAGACUACUGAAACAGAAAAAGCAAUAUCCUGUGCUAAUACCCAACUACAGGAAUUCAGCAGGCAGCCUCUAAGCCACUAAUCUGAAUGUAAUCCAGCUAUACUUUUGAGCAGCACCACAAAGGCAAAGCAGGGUUAUUCAUCCUCACUGAUACAUGUGCAUUUAUCUGAGUAUUAGCUGGGAAAUUAUAUAAGUUCCUAAAUAAGAGUACUCUUUCCUGAAUAGUAGCAAAUCCAUACAUACAAAGAUUGGGAGAUUGUUGUGCACUUUGAUUUACUUUAUUGAGUAAUCAUCUGAUAGCUACAAUGGUGAAUUGGAAGUUAAAAAAUAAAAUAAAAUAAAAUAAAAUAAAAUAAAAUAAAAUAAAAUA